GACGAACGCUGGCGGCGUGCUUAACACAUGCAAGUCGAACGGAAAGGCCCUGCUUUUGUGGGGUGCUCGAGUGGCGAACGGGUGAGUAACACGUGAGUAACCUGCCCUUGACUUUGGGAUAACUUCAGGAAACUGGGGCUAAUACCGGAUAGGAGCUCCUGCUGCAUGGCGGGGGUUGGAAAGUUUCGGCGGUUGGGGAUGGACUCGCGGCUUAUCAGCUUGUUGGUGGGGUAGUGGCUUACCAAGGCUUUGACGGGUAGCCGGCCUGAGAGGGUGACCGGCCACAUUGGGACUGAGAUACGGCCCAGACUCCUACGGGAGGCAGCAGUGGGGAAUAUUGCACAAUGGGCGGAAGCCUGAUGCAGCAACGCCGCGUGCGGGAUGACGGCCUUCGGGGUGUAAACCGCUUUCGCCUGUGACGAAGCGUGAGUGACGGUAAUGGGUAAAGAAGCACCGGCUAACUACG
rnacentral:rRNA from 1 species